GAGUGGUGCAAGAAGGUAGUGAGUUAUCUCAGAUGAUUGUUCACAGUCACUUACAGGUUGAACUCCUUGUUCUGCUCUUUCCCCUCUUCUCACUACUGCACUUGACUAGGCUUAC
rnacentral:Y_RNA from 1 species